AAAUUAAAAAACAGAAUUUCGCGAUUUACUAAAUUUGAAACUGCUCUUAAACCGUAACGAAUUAGAGAAAAUAAUAGAUAUGAAAAAGAUGCGCCUCAAUGAUAUCUUUCCAACGGUGUAUCAUUUUCUUCAUUCCGAUGAGCGAUUUAGUAAAAAAAGUGAGAAAACGCUCGCUGCCACUUGUCAUGCACCGCGCCGUUUUCAAAACUACUCUUAAACCGUGAUGAAUCUCGAAAAAAAAUUGACACGAAAAAGUUGUGCCUAAUCCAUAGCUUUUCAACGGUAUAUAUAUAGUACCACAACCAAAGAAAAAACACACCUCCUACACGGCCGCCGCCCCUCCUCCACGGCCGGCGCGCCACCACACCCGUGGCUGGAGCGCAUCCUCCCGCAUGGCCGUCUCCCCUCCUCCCCCGCGGCCACCUACCCUCCUCCCCAACGGCUGGCGAGCCGCCUUCCGCGCGACUCGGGCUCCUUCCCCGCGGCCAGCGCGCCACCUCCCACGCGGCCACCUACCCUCCUCCCCAACAGCCCGCGCGCCGCCUUCCGCGCGAUGGGGCACCUCCUCCGCCAUGGCCGGCGAGCCUCCUCCCGCCGCCAUCCUCGGAUCCAGCCACAGCAGGGCCGCGGAACCCCGUGUGCUGUUCGCCGGGCCCUGAAUCCCCGUGCGCCGCCGCAGGGCCCUGGAUCCCGAGCGCCGCCGCCGCCGGGGUCCUGGCUCGCCUGCUCCAUCACCGCUGGGAUAUCGCCUCCCUCAUGCGCCGCUGGGACCCCCACACGCCGUCGCUGACCGCACCACCCCAUCGCCCGCGCUUCCCCUCUUCCCCGAGCUCCCCUGAGCGGCCCUGCUCCUGAGCCACACCUUGCCGGACUGCGGGGCUCAUGCCACAGCACCUCCCCUCCCCCAAGUUCGUGUGCCACUACGCGAGCUCCAUCCCCACCGCCGGCCAACUGCCGUCGCUAUCGCGCGUGGACAGCAGCGACGGCCGAAUCCGACCUUCCCAGGCAUCACCUUUCUUCCUUCUCUCAUGUUGAUGUUCUUUGGCCAAUUUACUGAGCAGCGCCGGCCUUUGCACUAUGGUACUUGUUCUAUUUUGCUUCAGAGUUAUGUUCGCAUCUGAAUUUUCUUGCUAGGUUCCAAAAGCAAGUGGUAUGCACUGCCUUUAGUCAGGUCACGGCCUCCGAUGCUGCUAACCUCCCCACGUUCCUUGUCGCCUGCUUGUGUGUGCCUGUCAAUGAAGGAAAAACACACAUGGGCAAGGUUAUAUCUACAGGCAAAAGUUCAGAAUUUCAGAAAGAAGAUGGAGUGAGAAUCCUACACUCCUGUCGCUCGGCAGGUCACGGCCUCCUCUAGGUGCAGGUCGUGGUGUCCAUGUCGUCACUGCUCCAGCGCAUCAUGCUUCCAUACAUGGUGGUGUUUUGGACUGGAGCAAGACGGAACGAGGCAGUGUGUGUACGUACUUUCUAAGAGUUGUCGACCACCGCAUGCGCCUCAAUACAAACUUCCUGUAGCAUGUGUACGAGUUUACCCACAGUGAUUUUUGUCAACAUGAUCUUGGGGAUGCAGACCUAAACAAAUAAACUUGCUCGUUGGUCGAAACUAAUACUAAUCACAUUAGAUUGUAGUUGUUGCGUGUGGCAUUGUUGCUUCUUUGGAUUUGUUGUGGCAAGGAAGAAAAAGAAGAUGGGGAGAGGACAUGUGGUGGUUAGUGGAUAGGAAAUGUGUGAAGAAGAAAAACCAUACCGCUUCAAUUGGACAUUUAUUUUUAUCCAUUUGGGUGAAAAAAUGUUGUCCACUAUAUGUCUGUAAUUAUGGUUAUAACAAAUGAAUUUAUUUAUUUUACUUUUGUUAAUUUA